rnacentral:rRNA from 1 species
GAUGAACGCUGGCGGCAUGCCUAACACAUGCAAGUCGAACGAAGCCUUCGGGCUUAGUGGCGCACGGGUGCGUAACGCGUGGGAAUCUGCCCUUGGGUUCGGAAUAACAGUUAGAAAUGACUGCUAAUACCGGAUGAUGUCUUCGGACCAAAGAUUUAUCGCCCAAGGAUGAGCCCGCGUAGGAUUAGGUAGUUGGUGGGGUAAUGGCCCACCAAGCCGACGAUCCUUAGCUGGUCUGAGAGGAUGAUCAGCCACACUGGGACUGAGACACGGCCCAGACUCCUACGGGAGGCAGCAGUGGGGAAUAUUGGACAAUGGGCGAAAGCCUGAUCCAGCAAUGCCGCGUGAGUGAUGAAGGCCUUAGGGUUGUAAAGCUCUUUUACCAGGGAUGAUAAUGACAGUACCUGGAGAAUAAGCUCCGGCUAACUCCGUGCCAGCAGCCGCCGUAA